rnacentral:tRNA from 1 species
AAUCUUAUAUUCAAAAUAUGAUAUUAAAUUGCAAAUUUAAAGUUAUUAAUUUAUAUAAAAAUUUAAUUAAGAUUU